rnacentral:lncRNA from 1 species
UUUGAAAACACGUCUUAAGUCUAGCCCAUUUAUUAACAAACAGAUUAAAGUUAUUAAAAAUAAAAUAAUCCCAAAAAAAAAAUUAAAAUGGCCUUAUUACAACCCAAAACCAAACAAUAAUAUUAAUAAGAUAAAACUUAUAAAGAAAUAAAUCGGCUAUUUAUUGCAAUUAAAAGAAACAGAAACAAUAGUGUGGCCAUCUCCGAGUCCCUCGCAGCUCCAAACCAUCUAAGCUUAGGGAUUACCUGCACAGUUAGAAACGGGGUGAGUUUACGAAAACUCAGUGUGUAAUCCCAAUAACAAACAAACAGUGAAAACACAGUAUCAGUACAAUCUGGGUCAAAGCCCUAUUUAGUCUUGACAUAUACUGGGCUGAAGCCUUUCGUUUAACGAUUACUGGGCCGAAGCCUUUUCAUAAAUCAUAUCAUUGGGCCAAAGCCUUUUCAUAAAUCAUUUCACUGGGCCGAAGCCUUUACUGUAAAUGGUAUGGCCCAUAGGCCCAUUUCAAUAUCACAUGUAAUGUCAAUGGAUGUAUGCAAGCCCAUUUCAAUAUCACAUGAAAUACCAAUGAAUGUAUGCAAGCCCAUUUGGGGAGACUACUCAACCCACCAUCUGCUACUCUCCACCCGUACCAACCAACACACCAUGUGGGGAAUAACUCAACCCACCCAACCAACACACCACUGGCAGCAUAGCUGCUUCAUCAUAUAUCUGGAGACCUAGCCUCUUUAAUAACUGGGGCAAAGCCCUUUUCGGUAAACUGGGGCAUAAGCCCUUUUCAAUAAACUGGGGCAUAAGCCCUUUUUCGUAAAAUAGGGCAUAAGCCCUUUUCAAUAAACUGGGGCAUAAGCCCUUUUUGGUAAACUGGGGCAUAAGCCCUUUUGCACUUCCUCCAUCCAUAUAAAAACCCAACCCAAUGCAACAUGUCAUGUAUGCAGAAUGUCAUGCCCAUAUUUGAAUUAAACAAUCACAGUCAAGUCAUUCAUAUCACCAGCAUAUAUUCACAACCAAAUUCGUCAACCACACAGUCCAAAUCAGUCACUUGCCCACAAGGGCACAACAGUCAUUUUUCACAUUAUAAGGGUAUUGUCGUAAUUUUACCAAAUAUCAGGGUUUUCUAUGUUCAUUACAAUUAUCAAUAUUUUCGAGUGUUUAAACAAUGAUCUUUAACCCACUUUAUCAAAUUCAGGCUUUUGGGCCCAAAACCCCUAAUGGGCCCUACACCGAUCUUAUCGUAUUUAUCGCAUCUAUACCCAAACGCAACAUUACAAGUUCCCGAAAUACCGGUAUUUUAGCAUUUCGGCUUCUCAGCAAAUAUUAAUCUAAGCUAUUACGAGGGUUAGUACACACCUGUUACGGGUUGAAGUUGAAACGUUUCCAAAAUCAAUCGCCUACGAUAACCACCACCUGUCACUCAAACUUAACUAAUCCAAUAUCAAUAUAUGUAAAUCCUAAGCACAUCAGUCAUAUGGAACAUAAGGGCAUAUUCGUCAUUUUACCAUACAGGGGUAUUACGGUCACUUUACCCUACAAGGGCUUUACGGUCACUUUACCCUACAGGGGCUUUUCGGUCUUUUUAACUAAUAGGGGUAUUUUAGUCAUUUCAUCCUACAAGGGUGUUUUGGUAAAUCUACAAACCAAGGGUAUUUCAGUAAUUUUGUAAACUAAUGGUAUUUCUAUAAUUUUUAGAGAGUCAAGGGUAUUUCUGUAACUUUGUAAAUCAGGGGUAUUUUAGUAAUUUUACAAAUUGAGGGUAUUUCGGUAAUUUCACAAACCAAGGGUAUUUUGGUAAUUUUACAAACUAGGGGUAUUUUGGUAAUUUUACAAACCAAGGGUAUUUUAGUAAUUUUGUAAAUCAAGGGUAAAACAGUAAUUCUGUAAAUCAAGGGUAAAACGGUAAUUCUAUAAAUCGAGGGUAAAACGGUAAUUCUAUAAAUAGAGGGUAAAAAAGUAAUUCUAUAAAUCGAGGGUAAAACGGCAAUUCUGUAAGUGGAGGGUAAAACGGUAAUUAUGUAAAUCGAGGGUAAAAUGGUAAUUAUGUAAAUCGAGGGUAAAACGGUAAUUCUAUAAAUCAGGGGUACUUUAGUAAUUUUACAAGUCGAAGGUAUUUCAGUAAUUUUACAAAUCGAGGGUAUUUCAGUAUUUUUACAAACUAAGGGUAUUUCGGUAAUUUUAGUAAACUAAAGUAUUCUAAACAGGGAUAACAAUACGAAUGGGCCUAAAGCCUAUUCUUGGCCCAAAUGGGCCCACACGCUCGUGUGGCCCUUUUAGCCCAAAUCUAGCCACAUAUAUGAGAUUCACCUAGCCUAGUCUAAUAUUUACUACACAAUCAAACAACUUAUCCAAUUGGGCCCGUAGGCCCAUUGGGCCCACAUGGCCCCUUUCGGCCCAUCGCGACCCGAAGUAGCCAUCCUGCAACUAGAGUAGUGAGAAAUACACACCUGAUAGGAGACUGGAGUUAAUCUACGGUUUGAACACUCUUAGCCGACGCCCAACCCAAACGAGCACGCCAUACAGCGAAAGGGAUCAGCCAAGAAAGGU